GAGUUUGAUCCUGGCUCAGGGUUAACGCUGGCGGCGCGCCUAACACAUGCAAGUCGAGCGAGGGCUCUUCUCCCGCAAGGGAGGGGAGUUCCUAGCGGCGAACGGGGUGAGUAACACGUGGGCAACCUGUCCUCUCGCGGGGGAUAACACCGGGAAACCGGUGCUAAUACCGCAUGUCAUCGCUGGUCGCAUGGCCGGUGAGAAAAGCAGCAAUGCACGAGAGGGUGGGCCCGCGGCCUAUCAGUUAGUUGGUGGGGUAACGGCCUACCAAGGCUUUGACGGGUAGCUGGUCUGAGAGGACGACCAGCCACACGGGGGACUGAGACACGGCCCCGACUCCUACGGGAGGCAGCAGUGAGGAAUCUUCCGCAAUGGGCGCAAGCCUGACGGAGCGACGCCGCGUGUGGGAUGAAGUCCCUGGAUGUAACCACUGUCGGAGGGAAGGAACACAGACGGUACCC
rnacentral:rRNA from 1 species